AACCUGACACAAAUUAGCUUCCUUUCUAAAGAAGAAAGCAAUGGCUGUUCUGCUUCUCUGAAGGUGCUGGGGAAGAUCAGAAACUCACCUCUGUGCUGUGGAGGCCAAAGAGACAAUAAAACUACAUAAUCUGGGGUCCCCGACCAGGUCCUCCAGGUUGCAACCGUCACUGGUCUCAGCUCCCCUCUCCUGAUCUGCCCCAGUAGAGGGCAAUGCCCACCUACCUCAGCUUACCAAGAGCCCUACUGAACUCUGUGGCCUGAAACAACUGUGCCAGGAGCUCCGGCCUCCCUAACUUUAAUCUCAGUCUGGCCUUUGUCAAAACUGAAAAAGGACUAAGAUUGUCCUGAGCCUGCCUUUCCUUCCAAAAGAAGCCUCUUCGAUUAUGUUUGGAUGUAAAGACUUUGGGAUUACUCGGUGUGGUCAGAGCCGACCCCGCAGCAGAUGCCGUUUUCAUUGGAUCUUCUCAUUAGGAACCCUGAGAAACAGAAGAUCUGCUAUCAGAGGUGAGCAGCAGGGUUGUUUCUGGAAAGUAUAAGGAGCGGCCUCCAUUAGUAAACAAGAUAAACACAAGCCUGGCAAUCUUGUCUCUGGAUAAGCCCUGGCUUGCUGAUCUGGGUUCCGGCAAGGCAGGUGGCGAGUCAACGCUAGUUAAGAGAAUGGAUUAAUGACUAUUGUCUAAAACUUCUGGGCCCCUCUGAAUGGAGCAGGAAAGUGCUUUUCUUCCAGAUCUUGAAUGCAGGAUCCUGCUUUUCCUUGUGGAGUCUGCUCAGUCAGUCCUGCACACGUGUAAGGCACGUGUCAACCAGCUCUCAGCUGUCACAGUGCCGCUGGCCAGGACUGUAUUUGCCACACCACACCAUCUCCAUGUACAGCACCUUCAGCCCUCACCCGUCCCAUUCAUGUUCCAUAGUCUGUGGAAAUCGCACAGGCCAGAGCCUCCCUCUUCCUCUGACCUGUCACAGCAGAAGGUCUGUGGGCCCGAAUGAUUUCUUCAUUAGAUUCCCUGCAUGUUCAUUUUCUCCUCCUUCACAAAAGAACUCCAUGAAGACAGCAGCCACAUCUCCUGCCUUUCACACAGCCCACGGGAUCCACUUCAAUGUGGCUUUAUAACCUGAGAGAGUGAAAGAUGGGCUUCUGGUCUGAUACACCCCACUCAACGAGACCCCAAUAAAAAGCUACAAAGAGCAUCCUACUCUGACUCCCCAUAUCUGGAGUGGGGAAAAAAAAAACCUUGAAAGUUCACCUCAGCUCAUGGAAAUUUUAUAUUCAUUUCAAUGGCCCUUUCCAGCCAUUCAGCUAUGCAGACAACUGGUUGACCUUGCUCAUCUAAUCAAGUGAGAGGUUCCUCUAUUAAAACUAAAUGGCAGCCAGGCGGUGAUGGCGCACGCCUGUAAUCCCAGCACUCUGGGAGGCAGAGGCAAGCAGAUUUCUGAAUUCAAGGCCAUCCUGGUCUACAGAGUGAGCUCCAGGACAGCCAGGGUUAUACAGAGAAACCCUGUCUCAAAAAAAUCAAAUAAAAAAAAACCAAAAAACAAAAAAAACAAAAAAACAAAACCUAAAUGGCAAACGCUUGACUUGGUGUCUUUCAGACUUGGAAGGAAGUGUCCUUUUCAGUGAUAAGCCACAUGGUGUAACUCACUGAGACCACGUGAGAAGCAGAUGAAAGAGAAGUCCAGCCCCUUGGAACACUGGCGAGCAAACAGCAGGAGAGCGCUGAGAAGGGGCGUGCUUCUCAGUAGGGAGGCUCUCCCCCAGGAGUCACUUCUGCGUGAUGGUCUUGCUGGAUAGACAUGAAUUUAUUUUGGAAGAGAGGCUCUCAAUGGAGAAAAUGUUCCCACCUGGUUGGCCUGAGAUCUAUCAUCACAUUAGAUCCUCAAAACAACUCCAGGAAAAGGCCUGAAGAAAAGAUCAUGCCCACUUCACAGAUGAUGGAAUCCAUGAGCAGGUGAAGCCAUUUGACUAAGGCAGUUGGAAUCCAACAGACACCUUUUCAAGAAACCCUUGGUGGAGAGAAGUGGAAAAAAGAUGGGCAUUUAUCGCAGCAGCUGGGGGAGUGCUGUCUGCUGCUCCACUCCCCAGCCCCAGAGCCUUCCUCUAGCUCUGCAGUGACGGACAUUCUCUCUUGCACAUAGACUGCAGAAGGUUUCCCAACCCAUUGUUCAUCCCCAGAAUGAGAAUUUCUGGUUUCUUUGGAGACUCAGUUGUGUCAUGUUCUGGACACUGCCUUGUGAAAGAGCGUGUGAUGUUUUGCUGAAGCAGACACGUGAGAGGGCAUGAGAUGUUUAGAAAGAAUAUAAAUAUAACCUCACGAACAGUGAGAGGAUGCACUUGCCUUGGUUUGCCUUGCAAUGCUUCGCUGGUCUUCACUGAUCUUCACUUGUAAUUCCAUAGAGAGAAACUCACCAAAGAACUUCUCAUGGUAUUCCAGUUGCUUCUUGCUACUUCUGCUGACUGAUUCAGUGGGGUCUCGUGGUUUCUUCUGGAUCCAGCAGCUGCUACUGAUUUGUGUUUGGUGAAUUGUGUUUGGUGUUUGUGAUUGCACUGGACUAUGCUUCUGAUUUGUGUUUGGAAUUGCCUCCAAAGAACUACUUCUAAACAUUUCUUCAUUUCAUAUUAACCUUUCUUCUUCCCUAACUUUGGUUGAUGGGCUAGAUAGAAAGGAAGCUGAAGCAUUUAAGAUACCAUAUUAAAGUAGGUUUUGAAAACUCUAAGCCUACACAUUCCUCCCUCCAUCAAUGCCUCCUAUUCCUCCUGCUAGCGUGUCCUGCAGGGUGUCUCCAUAACCAAGUCCAGGGCAGACCCCUUAGCACUUGUUUAGAGCUAGGCUCUUUGCCUCUGUGCUUUCUGACACUGAUGGCGACUGAGUGUUGACAAGUGCGAUGUUUUAACUGGAUCCAUCAGCAGAGGUAACUCCUGGAAGGCAGGCACUCCAUCUGUCCUUCUUCCUGUGUGUUUCUAGUUCUUGGCAUCCAAUGAACAUUUAUCUAGAGAGUGAACCUGAGAUGUGUGUCUACGGGGCAGGCCUCGUUCCUCCUGCCUUCCCCCUGGGUACCAAGCCUGCAAGGUAUUGGAGAGGCCAAUCUGAUGGAGACAUUUCAGCACUGAGACCCUUCCAAAGUUCAAGACAUGGGGUUAUACUGCCAUGUGAUGUUCCCAGUGCUAUGCUCUUUGUUUCCCUGACCCUGGCCAGAAGGAACUCCUGCAGUCUAUGAAGUGAAUUAUUCUGGUGCCAGUGCUUGCUUCUCACUGGGACAAACACUUAGUAUUAAAAGAUGGGUGCUAAAGAAUCCAGGCUUUGGCUGGCUCUGCAGAGCAUAACAUAAAGGGUUUAGAGACCCAUCCUGACUGGGUGAGCUCACUUUUACCACAUUCUAGUGACUUCCAGCCACAGUGAGUUCUUGCUUACUAACCUGUAACUGAGUUUUGAACAUGGGAGUAGAAGUGAGGAAUAUGACAAGGUAGUUUUAAGCUGAAGUCAGGACAGAAUGUUCCCUCCUGAAUUCAGGGUUUGAGUAUCCUGGGAGAUGUGCACACAGAUGAGAAGUAAACU